rnacentral:tRNA from 1 species
UGCCUUGAGGUGAAAUGGUAGACACAUGAGACUCAAAAUCUCGUGCUAAAGAGAGUGGAGGUUCGAGUCCUCUUCAAGGCAU